rnacentral:lncRNA from 1 species
AUCCAUAUACUGAUGCAGUCGAACAUGGACUGAGAGUUGUCCUUAUAGCUUCAGUGCUGAUGUCAAGAAAAAGUGAAUAACCAUGUUGUUUGAUGAGUAGGUUACGCUCUUGUUCUGUCAGAAGUUCAUCAUUGAGAUGUUGCAUCUUCUGUUGUACAAGGCUAAGUGUUUUUAGACCAUGUUGUUUGAUGAUAGGUUACGCACUUGUUCUGUCAGAAGUUCAUCAUUGAGAUGUUGCUUCUUCUGUUGUACAAAGCUAAGUGUUUUUAGUUAGUAAGGCUUUCUUGGUGUAAAGAAAGGGUGGCCUGUUUGCAAGCAUUUCCGUUUCGUUUCGUUAUAACUUCAAAUACUUUACUUUAUCCAAAGAAGUUUUAACUCGAUUGGCAGCAUAAAUAAGAUGGCCGUAAGUAGCACCAACAUGAAAGAAAAAGAACUAUGUGUUAUGAAACAUGAGCGUAGUUAGCUAGGCAGCAGAAGUCCAUUAUUUAGCUUAAACAGAUGAUCUAUGCUGCCUCGUCCCCUCCAUGCUACAGAAAUAUAACACUCUUUUUACUCCUAAGCCGUGCAUCUAUUUUUGCGAGCAGAAAUAGCAUCCUUUUUGUUGUUCUCUCUUUAUGUCUCCUUUGAUUGCGUAGGUAACUUGGUUUCAGUUCUUUUUCCACUUUUCCUGUUUCCUCCUUUUCUCCGUUGUAGGUUGGGGAGAUUUGGAGGUUGUUGGACAAGGAAACAAUUGUCCAUCUUGCGUUGGAGUACAUAAUUACUGGUCGACAUAAAUGUGAUUUUCUUAGGUGACAACACGUCUGCAGUGAAUUAGG